rnacentral:rRNA from 1 species
CGGGGAGGUAACGACGUGGGGCGAACCCGCCUCAUACAGGGGAGUAACAGUUAGAAAUGACUGCUAAUACCGCAUAAGCGCACAGCAUCGCAUGAUGCCGUGUGAAAAACUACCGGUGGUAUGAGAUGGACCCGCGUCUGAUUAGGUAGUUGGUGGGGUAACGGCCUACCAAGCCGACGAUCAGUAGCCGACCUGAGAGGGUGACCGGCCACAUUGGGACUGAGACACGGCCCAA